CCAGAAAAGUUAAUGUGUUAGCUUUUAAGAGCAGACUCAAAGUGUUCUGCUAGUGGGUCUGCUUUGCUAUUGGUGAGGAGCAGUAACCUGCAAGACCGUCAAAUUGCGGGAAAGUCCUUAGAGCCUUUGCUACCGCCUCUGCAUGGAAACAUAGCAGUGUGCACCAGGGUAAUGACCUCGGGUAUGGUAAAAACGCAAAGGAUUGGAUAAUCUGCAGCCAAGUCCUAAUGGUUUCACAACCUAUGGAUGCAGUUCAACGACUAAAUGGCGGUCGGUUUCAGAAUAAAUUUAUUUAAACCUGAAGCUUAAGAUAUAGUCUGGCCCUCCAGAGAUGGAGUC
rnacentral:ncRNA from 1 species